CCAAAGUGCCCAAGAGUCGGGAGACAGAUGCCCAGUGGAUUAUCAGUGAGCGACCUUCACAUCAAGAGCUCUGUACCCUUGCUUGUUGAGGCCUUUAUAGGAUACAGAAAUUAACGUAAAUAUUCAUCGUCCUACGCACCUAAUCCAAAAACACCAAUGUCAACUGUCAGAUCGGAAGGCAAAAUAAAUUAUGGGCAUAAAGGUCAGUUAACAAACACCCGAUUGAGCAUUCAAUCUGGUGUUUGCCUUCCAAAAGGAGAUAUAUCACUCAGUUGAGAAUGCAAUAAACAGUUAAGAAUUGAUGGCUUUUUGAAGGUGGGGAUUUUAAUCCGAUAUUAUGAAAGCUGCUGCAUCUCAUCUGACAAUGGGACUGGGAAAAUGAACAUAUCUUUAGCCCGCCGUCAUGAACAGGCAAAUGGACCAGGACAUUUUCCUUCAGAAUGGGCGCCAAUCGACAAAGUACCGUUUUGGUCAGGAGAUCAGCUUUAGUUUUCUAAAUCCUUUUAUACUUGCAAAUACGUAUGAUCCAUGCCAGGAGCUAAGGAGACCAUCGAUUUAUUGUAAAAUCCUCUGUUUGACUAAAAAAAAACCCAAUUCAACACCUGCCAUGUGGAAUCAAUCCAUUUUCCUAGGAGGUGAACGUACUCUUCAUCAUGUUGUAUGACUAGUUCAAAAGAAACACCACUGAUAAAUACCCAUAAGUACAUUAAAUUAACAGAACGUCACCAAAAGCUAAGGAUUAUACAAUCAGAUUGGCUUACGCAAAAAAAUGAUGCCCUCUUUGGUUUCGACACAUCCCUGAUGCACGUUGAAUUUAAAUUAAUGCGAGAUAUGGAACCAUAAGCAUAGUACAGGGCAAGGGGAAAGGAAGAAAAGGCUUGAAAUUUAUGGGUAAGAUUUCAAAGUUUAGUCAAGAUGAUGACUGCAAACAGUAACAAAAGUUGCAAAAAAUAUGACCAUGAUUGGAAUAGAUUAUGUAAAUUCAUAUAGACAACAAAGAUAACGUCGGCUUGUUUAUGCAUAAACAUUUAGAAGAACAAAAAUUAGUUGCACUUGAUCAAGGGACGGAACCAACGCACUGAAGAUAUGAGGGACGGAAUAUUCGUGCAUGAAAUUCAAUCCAUGGAAUAAAUUUACGGGGAAAAAAGGUAGGCACAAACCUCCUUUCUAGAAUUUUCCUUAACAGCUGAUUCAGGGGAGUAUUCAUAGAUGGAGACGAAAACAUCCAAUGGCAUCUCUCAACUGUUUGGUUCCUGAAGUGAUGCAAACAUGUCUUGGUAUGCGGUUUCCAUGACUGCCGAGUAAACAUUGUUCAGCGUCAAAAUAGGCUAACAAGUUAAUCUUCGUGUCUGAAUCCUCAACUGCAAUUACUUCACGAAUAGUGCGGCCGGGACUACCGAAUCCGCUCUCUAAUUUAACUAUGGUACAAUCUCGUUGACUUGGUGACUCAUGAUAAUCAACCAGACUUUGUCCAUAGACUGUGGGAUUUUCAAUCAUCUUAUCUUCGAUUUUGCUUAUCGAAGGUAGGUCAC
rnacentral:lncRNA from 1 species